ensembl:processed_transcript
AACUCAUCACCCGCAGAAGCUGAGUUGAGAUUUCACUCUGGGGGAGCCAGACGACUUGUGGGAGCCUAGGCUGGAUAGGAUUCUAGCGUGUUCCUUUCUGGAUUGCCAAGGGAAGAGUUAUUAAGGAACCGGCACUCGCCAUAGGAACUAUGGAUGUAUCAAUGAGGAGACAACUUUAACUCGUGUGCUGGGUAUAAAUAUGCAAGUGCUGACAUGGGCUGCGUUUUUCAAUUUUAUGGCCAAGUGACGUCUACAGCCGACUGAUAAAUGGAAGCUUUGAGGAGGGAAAUUGCCACAGUCCAGCCUGGCAUGAAAGGAUCCCGAGGAAAGGUAGCAAUGGGGUAUGGAGUCAGCGGUGAAACCAAAGCUUAUUUAUCUUUGGCAGUUCUUCUCUCUUUGCUAUUCUAAGGCCAAAUGCCUUUGGCUUCUGGAAGUCUGCCCAACAGGGUGGGCCAAUGCCCAGGAAUCAUUAGGCAAUGGUGACAGAAAAGGCGUAUCAGCUUUUAAGAAGCAAUCCUGAGAUGAAGUCUCUUGUGAUCUUGCCUCUCAGAGCUCACUCAUCAUAAGCUAUGCAAAAACACUUCUGUUUUGACCGAAAGCAAACAAGAGGCUAAAUUCCAGGAUUAGGUUGCCGGGCAAGAGAAGAACACGUUUGAUGCCUGGCGCUCAUGCACAGAAGCUGCAGUCCUCAAAGUUACCUGUCUUCCCGAGGGCCCCGAGGGCCAGCUAGGGCCCUGACCUGUGCAUGCGCCAUCCAGAAACAGGUCUUCUAGACAAGCCUCCGUGUGACUGUUUCUGGACAGUUUAUUUGUUUUGAAUGUUUCAAAAUUUGGGCAAAAGAGAAUUGGAGCACAAAAGUGU